GUUUCCGUAGUGUAGCGGUUAUCACGUUAGCCUCACACGCGAAAGGUCUCCAGUUCGAAACUUGGCGGAAACA
rnacentral:tRNA from 1 species